UUCAUGUAUGUGAUAAUAUCUGUUGCAAAUUGUGAGUUGUUAUAACGUUAUUAGAAUAUGUAGAGAGAGAGAAUACAUGAGAAGAGUUAAAAAGAAGCAUGCUUAAGCCAACAGAGAGUGGAUCCAAACGUUGCUUUCCAGCUUUAUACAAACGUAUCACCCACAUUACUGCCACUGCUACAUACAUUGGAGGAGAGAGAGAUGAGAGAGAGAGAGAGAGAGUCCCGAUGAUCAUAAUGAUAAAUCGAUGUCGAUGAUAAAUUGAUGAUGAUGGCUCCGGUAUGUGUACCCUAGGAGUUGUAGCUAGCUAGCUAGGACCAUGGAUAUAUAUAUACAUACAAACACAUAUUGGUGUGUUUUGUAACUUGUACGUACCUUAGAGGGAUAACGUCCUAUUUCCCCAUCAAAACUAUCUUAUCGUACUAGAUGGAGCCGGAACUUUGACAUCGUCGUAAGUAUCCACAAAACAAGAUCUCUCAACCUAUAUAUCUCCAAAUCUAAAGUUCUCAUUUACUUCUCCAUAUUUUUUGGUUUAAUCGAUUUACAAAUUAAACCGCUAGAAAACCAGUCAAACCAGAUAUAAAACAUAGUUUAAAACCCGAUUGACCUUAUAAACCCGACCCGGUCUAAGAAUUUUUAUAACCCGAUCAGAAAUUCUCAAACCUAAGAACCCUAAAAUCAUCAUUUUCUAAAAUCAUCAUUUUCUAAAAUCAUGAACACCGUCUCUUGCAUUGGGGCAAUAUGUUUCAGGUGGGUGCAUAAACCCAGCCAAUUUCCUACCAAACUCUCGCUUAUCCACCACUGGCGCCAAGAGAAGCCCUCGUGACUUCCACAUUCCAAUUUUAUCUUCAUUUCUGAUCGGAUUUGAUGUGUUCUUGGUUCAGUGAACCAUGAUUCCAAUCACCAGAACUUGAAUAAACCCAACUAAGAGUUUUGGAGCUGCAAUCGUCUAUAAAAAAGGACCACGUGAAUCUCCAUUAUAUACAACAAUUAUGAUUGAUCUUUUAUGUCAAUUUGGUUGAAUUGUUUAUUUGAUUUUUCUUGGAUGCAGUGGAUUUUCUGGGUUGGACGGACCAUUCAUCCGAGCAGCCUUCAUUAGCAUUCAAAAGCAGAAGCUGAUUUUUUUUUUUUGGGUUUUUAGAAGUUCACAGUUGCUUUAUCUUUGUUUGUAUUGAGCUUUGACAUUUUUGAGAUCUGGUCAUAUUUGUUUAAAUGGAUUUUUCUAUUUCUUCUUCUCUCUGGGUUAUUUGAUGUGGAUGAUCUGGUUAAACGUUAAUGAAAAUAUGAUAUAGUGUUCGUUGAGAUGGGGAAAAGAGAUUUAAAAAAUAAAAAAGAAUUGGUGAUUUAAUUAUAUAAACGGGUCGAAAUCAGGUUGAAAUCGGUUUACAACUUUUGUUAGUUGGUUAGACAACCAAUAAACCAAUAAUUAACCAAUUAAACCUGUAUUUAUGGAGAAAUUGAUGAGAAUUAUGGAUUCAAGGAGAUUUAGAAAUAAAAUUUUGGAUUUGGAGAGAUAUAGGAUGAGAGACAUUUGUGCAGAGAUAUUUAAGACGAGGUGAAAGUUCUGGCUUUAUCUAGUAAGAUGUGAUAAUUUUCAUGUGGAACUAGGACGUUUUCCC